GCAGUUCAUUUCAGGGCUGCUCUCAUUGUUAAUCAGCUACUUUGCAACCUGACAGCUCCAUUGCAUUUCCUUCCACAUUGGAUGUGACUUUACAACAAACCCAGUGUCCAGCAGCUAGCAGUCUGUGUUGCAGCUGUACCUUGCACAAGCUCAUCUCAAAUUGCCCUCCUGCACAAACAAGUACUUAGAAAAGCUCCUGCCUCUAGAUCUUUACAGCUUCAGCAAGGAAAGGGGGUUGCCAAGCUUAUCAGCAGAGCAGGUGAUGGGUUCCCAUGUCCUUCGCUCACUGUAGAGUUCAGCACGGGCUAGGAACUGCACUUAAACCAACAAAACCUCUGGGGGAAAGAAGGGUUUGCUUUUCCACGUGCCAUUUCAUUAACGGCUGACCAGAGGAUGAGCAGCAGGAAAAGGAAGGUUUCUUGGCUGCUUCUCCACUCGUUCAGAGACUGCCUUUCUAGAGGGUUGCCUGGUACAAUUUCUUUCACUGAAGCUUUGUUUGCUACCGUGAGGAAACAAACAGCACAGCACCCACGUGCACACUGCUCACCUACACAAAACACCAAGGGUAACAGCUAAAAUCAGAGGUUGGCUAGGAUGUCAUGACUGCUCAGAUAGUCAGAUCUGGGGUUACUGCAGUGAUUUUGUUCCACACGCUCAGCCCAAGAUGCUCUGAAAGCCCUUACUGCCACCUCAGAAAGGAGAAAGGGCUCGCUCCUCAGUUGCCUGAAGGACUUGCUACCCUGUAGGUAACAAAAAAUGGAUUUAACAGCUUGAGUGUUCCUACACGGAGCUGGUGCAGCUCAGCUCCUCAAAGCUGUUGACGACUGGCUCAAUGCUUGCCCAGAGCAAGAGCAGCUCAUGGAC